CUGAGAACUAGUUCGAUUUGUUUAAUAGAUGGAGGCGAGAACAAAACCAGACAUGAAUUUCAAAGCCAACGUGUUAAUGUUUGUGACGUUCUCCUUCGCGGUUGUGUACAUCUUUAUUGCAUUUUCGACAGCACGAAUAAAUGCCACGUGUGUUGAUACCCCCUCUUGGAAGUCAGAUGCGUACAAAGUUGACACAAACCUACGAAUUGAAGCUACGUAUAACCAGUUUCAACCUACAAAA